UUACGAUUCUCCUGCCUCAGCCUCCAGAGUCGCUGAGAUUACAAGUGUGUGCCACCACGCCCAGCUGGUUCCUUUGACCUUACUGCGAAUCCCAUUACCCAGGGCACCAGUUUCCUCUCAGUGGAGUAUGGAGCAGAGAAGUUAGGACAUGAAGAGGAGGUCCUCAGUGCCCGCUGGCCAUCCCCGUUCUGCCCCAGGAACUCUCUUCCUCCCUUUGGGCCCUCCAGGCUCCUCUCCACAUGCAGCGAGCUUUGCCCACCACCUCGGGCUGCUCUCCAGGGCUUGGUUUUAGGUCUCAUCACAGAGAAGUUUUCAGCCUAAAGUCUCAUCACAUCUGGGUGACUUCUGCCACGCUCCACAGAGAUAAUGGCACCUUUUAACCUAAGACUUUAAGGGAUCCAGGGAUUCCUGGGACCAAAUUGCCAAUUCAAGCAAGAGGGGAUAGACGAUGGUUCAGAGGCUUCCAGGGGAGGAUGGGAGCCCAUAGCCUGGUCCCACCUCUCUGUGCUUAGAUACUGAGGAGUGGACACUGACAAUUCCUCUUGUGCCUCAGUUUCCUCAUUUGGAGAAUCCAAAGGGGAAAACAAGAGCGUGGACUGUGGAGGCAGGUGAACUUGGGUUUAAACAUUGGUUUCACCGAUCACUUUGUUCUGAGUGAGCUCAGAGUGUCUCAACCAAAUAAUUAAUGGGGAUUGUUAGGGUGUGGAUCUUAAAUGUCUCCAAAGGCCCAUGUGUUGAAGACUUGGGUACCUGAUCUGUGGUGCUUUUAGGAGAUGGUGGCACUUUAAGAGGAGGGGCCUAAUGGAAGGCUGUUAGGUCAUUGGGGCGGGGCCUUGGGGGGGAUAUAGGGAAUUCAGCCCUUUCUCUCUUUGCUUCCCAGCUCUGCCAACAUGCUUCUGCUGCCAUGAUGUACUUUACCACCACAGGUGCAAAGCAACUGGGCCAAGUGACCAUGGACUAAAACCUCUGAGACUAUGACCCAAAAUAAAUAAAUAAAUCCUAACUCUCA